rnacentral:rRNA from 1 species
AGUGAACGCUGGCGGUAGGCCUAACACAUGCAAGUCGAACGGCAGCACAGUAAGAGCUUGCUCUUACGGGUGGCGAGUGGCGGACGGGUGAGGAAUACAUCGGAAUCUACUUUUUCGUGGGGUAUAACGUAGGGAAACUUACGCUAAUACCGCAUACGACCUACGGGUGAAAGCAGGGGAUCUUCGGACCUUGCGCGAUUGAAUGAGCCGAUGUCGGAUUAGCUAGUUGGCGGGGUAAAGGCCCACCAAGGCGACGAUCCGUAGCUGGUCUGAGAGGAUGAUCAGCCACACUGGAACUGAGACACGGUCCAGACUCCUACGGGAGGCAGCAGUGGGGAAUAUUGGACAAUGGGCGCAAGACUGAUCCAGCCAUACCGCGUGGGUGAAGAAGGCCUUCGGGUUGUAAAGCCCUUUUGUUGGGAAAGAAAAGCAGCAGGUUAAUACCCCGCUGUUCUGACGGUACCCAAAGAAUAAGCACCGGCUAACUUCGUG